rnacentral:tRNA from 1 species
UAGCUCAGUUGGUAGAGUGCCUGCCUUGCAUGCACAAGGCCCUGGGUUCAAUCCCCAG